rnacentral:rRNA from 1 species
GCGGAGGAAAAGAAACCAACAGGGAUUGCCUCAGUAACGGCGAGUGAAGCGGCAAGAGCUCAAAUUUGAAAGCUGGCCCCUUCGGGGUCCGCGUUGUAAUUUGCAGAGGAUGCUUCGGGUGCAGCCCCCGUCUAAGUGCCCUGGAACGGGCCGUCAUAGAGGGUGAGAAUCCCGUCUGGGACGGGGUGUCUGCGUCCGUGUGAAGCUCCUUCGACGAGUCGAGUUGUUUGGGAAUGCAGCUCUAAAUGGGUGGUAAAUUUCAUCUAAAGCUAAAUACUGGCCGGAGACCGAUAGCGCACAAGUAGAGUGAUCGAAAGAUGAAAAGCACUUUGAAAAGAGAGUUAAACAGCACGUGAAAUUGUUGAAAGGGAAGCGUUUGCGACCAGACUCGCCCGCGGGGUUCAGCCGGCAUUCGUGCCGGUGUACUUCCCCGUGGGCGGGCCAGCGUCGGUUUGGGCGGCCGGUCAAAGGCCCUCGGAAUGUAUCACCUCUCGGGGUGUCUUAUAGCCGAGGGUGCAAUGCGGCCUGCCUGGACCGAGGAACGCGCUUCGGCUCGGACGCUGGCGUAAUGGUCGUAAAUGACCCGUCUUGAAACACGGACCAAGGAGUCUAACAUCUACGCGAGUGUUCGGGUGUCAAACCCGUACGCGCAGUGAAAGCGAACGGAGGUGGGAGCCCCCUCGCGGGGCGCACCAUCGACCGAUCCUGAUGUCUUCGGAUGGAUUUGAGUACGAGCGUAGCUGUGGGGACCCGAAAGAUGGUGAACUAUGCCUGAAUAGGGCGAAGCCAGAGGAAACUCUGGUGGAGGCUCGCAGCGGUUCUGACGUGCAAAUCGAUCGUCAAAUUUGGGUAUAGGGGCGAAAGACUAAUCGAACCAUCUAGUAGC